GAACAUUGAAUGGAUGAAGACAUCCUCUAUUAAUCCACCGCUGAAACUCCACCCAACUCUCCCCGUAAACAUCAACUAUAAAGGAGCCAUCCUCUUCCGGUCCUCGUCAACCAAGCGUCGGACGUGAAGUCCCCCCAAGACUCCAAGGAUGUCGAUAUGAAAAAGCCCGACUGUAUCCUUGGCCCAGAUGGAAGUAUCAUUUGCCCUAAGGGACAAAGGAAGCGAAGGAGGAGGCAAAAAACUUAAAUGCCGAGGCGUAGGCCUCGGGUUGGUACCACCGUCAUAUGAAGAUGCUAAUAUUGGUGGAGCUGAUGGAACACCUCGCAGUUACAUUCCCGGCAAUGACGACACGUUCAUCCCCAAUCCGGGUUAUGAAGUGCUGAUUGGUGGCGGAAAUUUCGCAGAUCCUUGAGUUCGUUCAAAUAUCGAAGCUCGAGUUUACUAGCUGCAGAAAGUAACUUGAGAAGGAAAAAAAGAAUAAGAAAAAGAAAAGAGCGAGUGUUUCUUUGCCCUGUCGGCACAAGAAAUAAAGUGCCUAGCACUGUUUCAUCAAUGGACCUCCCCAUAUCUGUCUCAUCCCGACGGCUUAUUCAAAAUUUUAAGCACAACCAAGACAUCCACUUGACAAAUACCUCUCAAAUGUUUGCAAAAGAGGUAAAUUCCA